CCUACGUGAGGCAGCAGUGGGGAAUAUUGCGCAAUGGGCGAAAGCCUGACGCAGCGACGCCGCGUGAGGGAUGAAGGUCUUCGGAUCGUAAACCUCUGUCAGCAGGGAAGAACGGUCACUGUGCUAAUCAGCAGUGAAUUGACGGUACCUGCAAAGGAAGCACCGGCUAACUCCGUGCCAGCAGCCGCGGUAAUACGGCGGGUGCGAGCGUUAAUCGGAAUUACUGGGCGUAAAGCGCUCGUAGGCGGUAUGUCAAGUCAAGGGUGAAAUCCCCGCGCUCAACGUGGGAACUGCCUUUGAAACUGGCAAACUGGAGUGGGUGAGAGGAUAGUGGAAUUCCAGGUGUAGGAGUGAAAUCCGUAGAUAUCUGGAGGAACAUCAGUGGCGAAGGCGACUAUCUGGCACAUAACUGACGCUGAGGAGCGAAAGCGUGGGUAGCAAACAGGAUUAGAUACCCGAGUAGUC
rnacentral:rRNA from 1 species